rnacentral:rRNA from 1 species
CCCUUAGAUGUUCUGGGCGGCCCGCGCACUACAAUGGCGCUUUCAGCGAGUUCCUAUGUUGAAUUUUCCUGGGUAUUCUUGGAAGCGGCGUCUUGACUUGGGAUAGAUCCUUGUAAUUGUUGGUUUUGAACGAGGAAUUCCUUGUAAUCGCGGUUGAUCAGCUCGCGUUGAAUACGUCCCUGCCCUUUGUACACACCGCCCGUCGCUCCUACCGAUUGGGUGUGCUGGUGAAAUGUUCGGAUCGGCCGUUUGUCGCGGUUUCCGCGGCUCGUGGCUGAGAAGUUCAUUAAACCCUCCCACCUAGAGGAAGGAGAAGUCGUAACA